rnacentral:lncRNA from 1 species
CACCGUUAUAUGGUCAGCCACUUGGCUCCGAACUCCACACUGAUACACAUUCUUCCAUAUUUUAUGAGUGGAAGAAACCUGUCAGCAUUGUUGUGGCUAUCCACCCUAGGACAUUUACCCUGGGCUAUUCUACCCUGGUCUGUGUCGUCUCGGUCCUAAUUAUCCCGAUCCGUACUUCUUCGGGCUGCAUGACCUCGGCUGUAUGACCUCGGACCGCUUGACCCUGACUGGACUAAGGCCUGCACUACAUCGAGCUUCUGAUAUACAUAUGUGCAAAGUUUUAUUUUUGAUUGAUUGAAUUUGAAUACAUAUAUAGAUGGAAAAUAUAUAUUGAAAAUAGA